rnacentral:lncRNA from 1 species
AGGAAAAAAAAAAAAAAAAGACAGACUCUUGAUACAAAAAAAAUGACCAGAGCCUCUCGUUCUACUCACGCUCCGUUUAAAGGAUCUAGAGGCCAAAUGUCCGCUGGGCCACGUCUGUUCCUUGUGAUGACCACUCCCUCCCGGGGGGUCGUGCCACCAACGAUGUAAUAAACAUCAGCGAUAAGGGGCGUCUUGGCCAAUUUGUAAACAGCAGCUUCGAAGCUUUCUGAUUCACUCAGGGUCUGAACAAAAAGACAAACCUGCAUGAGCAUCGCCAUGCGCGGCAGUCAUCCACGCAACUGAAGGACACAGGGUCCAGAGCACGCUCUCCGGCUCUGCGAGGCCAAGGCUAUCACCUUGAACGGCUCUGACCUCAUUUUCUUGUCAUCAGGGCUCCUGAGAUGGAGGAAGCCUCAAUGGAGAGCCGAGAGCACCAGGAUUUUUCUCACCAGAGAGAACGUUGACAUGUUCUCUCUGGUGAGAGAUUCACCUCAUCAAACAUAGGCUGCAUGAUUUCAAGGCGAGUCACCCUCACAAAGGUCCCCCUGUGUUUCUGCACUCACACGUUCUUCAGCAUCUAUGUCAUGAACACCUACUAUGUGCUAGGCACUGUGCUGGUGUGGGGAUAGAGCCGUGAAUACGAUGGACCCAGUGCUUGUGCUCCUCAAACGUCCAAGGAUGAACGUCAACAGGCCAUGGUGACAAAUGUCCUGAGUGUCAACAGAGGAGAAGGGGAUACUGUGCAAGUCACAGCAGGGGACCCAUCCUUACCCAGGCCAUUGAGGAGGCCUCCCAGGGAGGCGUCACGUGAGCUGAGGUCAGAGAGACAAACAGAAUUUAGAGGAGUGAAAGCGCUGGCCGCGGGGUGGAAGUACAGCCAUCCUGCUCACUCCUCCUGAGUGAUGGCGGGGCACGCUGCCAAGGGUGGGGAGAGGCUCCAACAAAAGGAUGAUUUAAAACGCUGGUGUCUGCAAAAGUGCCACCAUUCAAUGCCAUAAACCAUUAACCAUGGCAAGCUAUGCGGCAUUUCCCCUGCCUUACACCUACUGCCGUCAGGCUAGGGUAGUUAGACUUGGGUUGGUUUGUUCUGAGCUCAGCCACAUUCUAGGAGAGGCACUAGGAGGGGAUGGAAUAUGUUUUGGAUUAUGUCACCUGUAACAUCCCCCACCUACUGUCAAAGAAUCCAUCACGUCUAACAGAAUUCUAUGAGAACAAAGCAAAAGAACAUCAUAAGAAAUACCGAAGGCAGUGGUGACUGAUUUCAUUCACCCAAGUGGCACACUCAGGGGAAGACAGGUACUUUAUCUAGCUCAGGGAACGGGGGAAACAGGCAGGGACUGCUAAUGGGCACAGGGUUUCUCUUUAGAGGAAUGAAGAUAUUCUAAAACUGAUUGUAGUGAUGGUUGCACAACUCUGCAAAUAUACUAAAAGCCUGUGAGCUAUAUACUUUUU